rnacentral:rRNA from 1 species
UGAUAGGCUGGGUGUGUAAGCGUUGUGAGGCGUUGAGCUAACCAGUACUAAUUGCCCGUGAGGCUUGACCAUAUAACACCCAAACA